rnacentral:lncRNA from 1 species
GACAAGUACCACCACAGUCAGUGACAGUGCUCAUUUUCAAAAUUUGAAGCGCCACAAAUUGAGCUGUACUAGUGGAGAAGUAAUUAGCUACUCGUAGCAUUCAAGCAGGUCACAUCCGACCAGUCUCCAGCCAAGUUUUUCCCUGAUAGCUUCAACCCGCUUUCUUUGAGUCCCAAGAUCCGAGACGGCUGUCUGCAAGGGCCAGAUGUACU